UGCUGCCGGGUGGCGGGCUUGGCGCAGGCCGGCGCCGGCUGCUCUGCCUCCUUAACUCGCUGACCUUGCCCAGGAGGAAGAAGAGAUGACCAAUUCCCAGGAACCUGUUACAUUCAAGGAUGUGGCCAUGGACUUCACUGAGGAGUGGAGGCAACUAGACCCCACACAAAGGGCCCUACAUAAAGAGCGAAGAAACUUGACGACUGUGCUGAAUGUGGGAAGAGCUUUAGUCGAAGCACAGAUCUUCGCUACCAUCAGAGAAUUCACCCUGGAGAGAAACCUUUCAUAUGUGAUACGUGCGGCAAAGGCUACAGUUAUAACACAAAUCUUCGUGUUCAUUGGAGAGUUCACACAGGAGAGAAACCUUUUAAGUGUGAGUGCGGCAAGGGCUUCCCUCAGACCUCCAACCUUCGCAUCCAUCAGAGACUCCACACUGGAGAGAGACUCUACACAUGUGAUAAAUGUGGUAAGGGCUUCAGUCGGAACGUAGAUCGCCAAGUGCAUCAGAGAGUCCACACAAACGUGAAACUCUGAAAACACAGACUUAUAUGCUCAUCUGAAAGUCCACAGAGGAGAGAAACUCUACAAGUGUGUGUGGAAAAAUCCUGUGACAUGAAAUUAUGUGUCAAGCUCUGGACUGACAAGCUCCACAGAAGGUUGAUUCCGUCACAAAGAGGUUUAUGUUAGACAUAACCAAUAAGUAACCCAGCACCCGUGCCAAACAAGGUUUUCCUCCUGGAAAGAUGCCCCUUACCUGGCAGAGGCCCUUCUAGACUGAAAGCCUCCUGGCUCUAAUUGAGCAUCUCCCCGUCCAUCAUGUCACCAGGCUCCUGGGUGCCUUGCACCAUGGAUUAUAGAAGUCUCCAGGUAAGGCAUCUUCAGAGUAGAUGUCUGUAGAAGAGACAGCUAAAGAAAUGGGCUGAGUCAGGAGAGGAAAGCAAGUCUGAAAGGAAAUGAUUAGAGGGAAAGGAAAAAGAACAGUGCGUAGGAGGGAGGUUGUGGGAUGGUGGGGGUAGAAAGCCCAGAGGCUUUUCCAAAGUUUCAAACAAGUGUGGUGACCCCAGUACAGGGCUUUCCCUGAGUAGUCUGAGCUGAGUAGAGGGUGAGCUGUAGUGGGUAGAGAUGGACCCCAUCAGCGUUAGGGCCAGUUGGGACCAGAGGUGGAAAAGCUGCUGUGAAGGGCCUUGGAAAGCAACUCCAUGCUUCAUUGUUUCCCCAAGUGGCCCAAGUCAGGUGGGACCAUCAACCGCCCAAUGGAAGGAGGGAUCCUAUAGGAAGGCAGUAAUAAGGCUGACUCCCUUCAGGAGGCAUAAAUUAAUCAGAGACAGAGCCUGAGGGCCUGGCCAUGAAGCAGGAAGACUGGGGCCAGUGGAGGUUAGGAAGAGGUCAGGGACCCAGCUUCAUCAUUAAAUGUGAGUAAGGAAGAGAGCGGUUUGUCUAAAUUCUUUGUACUAUGUGCCCCUAGGCAGCCAUUGCAAGGGAAAGGGUAUCCACCAUUAGAAAGACUUUGGGGCUCUAGGAGGACUGUCAGCUGACCUGACCAGAGACCAUCGGCUCACACUGGGAGCUGGUGUUGGUAUGCCCAAGGGCUAUAAUGGCAACUGGCUUGUAAGAGGCCCUCAAAUAUUGAAUGAGGGUAUUAAUAAAAUUCCAACAACUCACAUUUAUAUUAGUUUCUUUUCCUUCUUCCUCUUUGCUUUUUCCUCUCCAACUCUUCUUCUCUUUUCUGUUUUUAGAUUUAAAAACUAGUUUAAUUAUAAAAUAUUUCAGGCAUACAGAAAAGUUCAGAAAAUAUAACAAUAGUAUGUUAAAUUUUGCCACAUUAGCAUCAGGUUUUGUGGGGGGGGGGUGGUAAGGAAAAAACAGAUUGAACUGCAGCCUCAUGCUGUCUUUUCCCUCAGCCCUGCUCAGAGGUAACCAUUAUGCUCAAGUUGCUGUGUAUUAUUUCUGUGUGUGUUUGGGUUUUUUUUUUUUUUUUAAUUACCUGUGUGUCCAUGAUAUCUUAGUUUUUUUUUUUUUGUUUUUGUUUUUUUUUGCAAUUUGCUUUAUGCCCCAAGCAUUACAUUUUUGAGAUUUUUUAUGCUGAUGUUUUAGAAUUAAGGGAUUUCAGCUUCUGUCAUCUAAGCUAUCAGAUGAUCUACUGAAGACAUUAUUUGUGUGCCUCUGUGCCAAUAAUGCAUUUUUGAGUGAUCUAGCUUUAUAAAAAUCAUCCUGGCUAUUUAAAACCCUUUAUUCUUUCAUGUAAGUUGUAGAAUCAGCUUGUCAAAGUCCUUGAGAAAUUUGUCAGAUUGGGAUUUUUGGGUUUUCUUUUCAUUCCUUCCAUUGGGUUAUGUUUUAUUUAUUCUCUCUUUUGUUCUAGAAGAUAGUAGUUACAUUUGAUCUCUUUUUGUUUGCUGUUAACAUUCAUAACUUGAGAAAAGGCAUUAAUGCAAACUUUAUUAACAGUAGAGACUAGAACACUCGCUUUGCUUCUCCUUACAUGUUAUGGUUGUAUAAUAUGUCACUAUUUUGUUGUAAGUAGACCCUGCAAGUUUAGAUUAACCUGCACAUUUGCCAGCUUCUUACCACAGGUUCUUGUAUUUCCUCCUUCCUUGUGAAUUCCCCUCCUCGGCAUCCUAGAGCAGAGACAGCUUGUGCAUUGGUCAAAAGCACCGACUCUGCAGCCAGAUGACCUGUGGUGGCUGUGCAGCUCGGUUGUUGAUCACGAGCUCUGUGACCUUUGACAUUGAUUACUGAAUCUCUUUGUGCCUCAGUUUUUCUAUUUAUAAAAUAGGGAUGAUGAUAGUUAUCUACUUCAUGGGGUUGUUAGAAGGAUCAGAUGAAUUAAUAUUUGUGGAAUGGUUACAAUAGUGCUUGGCACAUAGUAAGCCUUAUAAGAGUUUCUUAUAGAAGUAAAUUAUUCCCUGAGUGUAAGUUAUUUCUCCCUUACUCUUGAAUUAUAGCAUAGCAAGGCAUAGAAUUCUAAAUUGACAUUUAUUUUUACUUAGCAGUGCCUUAGCCUCUGGGGCUGCUUUUUAAAAUCCAUAAUUGGGGCACCUGGGUGGCUCGGUUGAAUGUCCAACUUUGGCUCAGGUCAUGAUCUCAUGGUUUGUGAGCUCGAGCCCCACAUUGGGCUCACUGUUGUCAACCUGUCAGCACAGAGCCUACUUCAGAUCCUCUGUCCCCCUCUCUCCGAGCCUUCCCCACUUGCGCUCUCCCCAAAAUAAAUACAAAAAUAAAUAAAGAAAGUCCAUAAUUAACCAAUUUAUUGUUCCCUCUGAGACACUGUCUUUGGUCAAUUUUCAGGUUACCUUUUUAAGAUCUUAUUUUUUAAGAAAUCUCUACACCCAACAUUUGGCUUGAACUCACAAUCCCAAGACCAGAAGUCACACACACCACCAACUGAGCCAUCCAGACAACCCAGAUUACUUUAUCUUUAAAAAGGUUUAGCAAAAUCGUGAAAAGUAGAGAAGUGUUCUGCCAUUUUAUGAAAUAUAUCUAGGUGUGGGUUUACUUCUGUUUUUUCUAAUCAGGACAUAUUGUGCUUCUACGUGCUAUUUUCUAUUUUUUUUUUUUUAAUUCUAUCCUUGUACUUUUAGGUUUGUCAUUUUUUCUAGCUUGAGUUACAUGUUUAGAGCUUAUUUAUUUUUAGCAUUUAUUUUCUAAUAUUUUCUGUAUUUCAGUGACUUAAAUUUCCUGUGAAUACCUUGGCAGCAUCUUUUCCAGAACACAGUUUGGCAAUCUGUGUCAAAGGCCUUUAAAGUGUUUAUACCAUCGACUCAAAUUUCACGUCUAAGAAUCUAUGUAUAUUUUUUUAAUUAAAAAAAUAUAUUUAUUUUGAGAGAAAGAACAUGCAAACAGGGGAGGGGUAGAGAGAGAGGGAGAGAGAGACAAUCCUAAGCAAGCUCCCUGCCAUCAGCACAGAACCUGACACAGGGCCCAAACCCACAAACUGUGAGAUCAUGACCUGAGCUAAAACCAAGUGUUGGACGCUUAACAGGCUGAGCCACCCAGGUGCUCCUCUAAGAAUCUAUAUUAAGGACAUAAUCAGAUGAAUUAUAUAUUAAAGGCAUAUAUUACCAUUUCAUUUCUACUGUUUUUUAAAAAGGAAAGGAUUUAUACAAUGCAGUAUUCAGCAAGAAAAAUAUUCUGGGUCAUUUUUAAUGACUUAGAAAAAUGCACCCAAUAUAGCAGAUGUAAAGACACAAAUAGUGUAUUUUUCAAGUUUUUCCCUCUAAUAUAUUAACAGUGUAAAUGUUUGCUUUUUAUUUUCUAUUUUGUGCUUUUCAUUAUUUUGCAAGCAGUCUCUAAUGCUUCCCAGUCCCUACUGACAAAAAAUGCUGGUUCUUUUGUUGUCAAAUAUCACAAUAUUAUGAAGCAAAAGUAACUGGUUUACUAUGGAGUGUCAAUUCAGUGGGGCAUAUAAGAUCAUGAAACAGUUUUAUUGCCACUGCCUUCAUGCUGUGAAUUCUUCACUCGUUGAAUUCUGUUGAAUUCCCCUGAUUGAUUGCUGGGUUGAAUGAAUAUUGAGUGGGAAAGAGAGGCCCCAAGGGACGGAGGGCUUUAGGAAAGAGGAGGAUUUUCUCCCUCACCAAUUCCCUGAAGAAGAGUCCAAACUAAGUAAAGAUUAUAAACUGGUGAGAGUAUUUGCAAUCCAUAUCACAAAGGGAUUCAUCUCCCUAUUUAUGAAGAGCUCUUAGAAAUCAAGCAAAGCAUUAAAAAAUGUGAAGAGAUUAUUAAGGGCCAUUUAUAUUAUCUCUAAAAUGUACAGAGGUGUCAGACUUUUCUAAUAUGAGAAAUGCAAAUCUAAACCAUGCUAAGAUACCAUUUCUCACUUAACAGAUUUGCAGAAAAUGGAAAAGUUAAAUUCAUUGUUAAUGAGGCUAUAGAGACACAGGCAUCCUCAUGCAUUGCUGUGGGGAUUAUAAAAUAGAACUCCUAGGGAGGGGAAUUUGAUAGUGUCUACCAAAACUACAGAUACUUUUACCUUCCCCCCCCCCCCCCCCCGAUAUCCCAUUUCUGAGAAUUUAUCGAUACACCUGCAUGUGUGCUUUGAAAAUAUCUGACAUUGUUUCCAAUAGUAACAAAUGGAAAACACCACAAAUGUCCGCCAAUAGAGGACUGGUUUAAUAGACUAUUCUGUGGACGUAUAGUGUGCAGCUAUAAUGAAAAGGAAGGUCUCAUGCUGAAAUGGAAAGAUCUCCAAGAUAG